CUUCCAUUACCUCCAACAACUUUUAGAGAUGAAUUCAAUUAACCAGUUCAUCCGUUACCCUUCAUCUCGGUUUCCCUCUUUUCGGUUCUUACGUUACGCAGUCGAACAAUCUUAAGCCAUCAAUUUCAAAAGAUGAGUGUUAUUUCCCUAAUCAUCAACCCGUCUCCAACACGUCAGAAUUUUUGCAUUGGGUAGAACCAGCAAGGAAUUUCAUUGAAAAAGGUCAAGGAUUGUCCGAAUUAGGGCUUGCUUUAAUUCUUCAUCUUGCUCCUGUGUCAGUUUCAACAGUUUCAAAUGACGAGGGUUUCAAUAUUCAAACAGCUUCUGUAGCAAGUUUAGAAAGUAAGUUGAAUCCAUACAACUUAUUAUAUCAAGAUGUAUUAUACAUUUCUAUCAUCAAUCUUACACAGCUUAUUUUGAGAGACCUUUGGCAAAAGCUUGGACAUUCACAAACAGUCUCACAUUCACAUUAUGAAUUAUUUAAAAAAACAGCUAAUUCCUGCCA